rnacentral:lncRNA from 10 species
GGCAGCCUCGGCGGUCUGGGCGGGGCGGGAAGCCCGCUUUCAACCCCGCGUACCCUCUGACCCCGGAAGUGCUUGCUGCGCAGGACCCCUUGAAAAAAAAUGAGGACCCGUCUUUUUUAGGUCACAAGAUUGCGCCAACCCUUACAUGGUCCUUAAAAAAAAAACCUUCUGACACUGCAGUAGUGAAAAUGAAGCGCACGAUGGGCGGAAGCUGUGAGUCCGGCAAAGUUUUAAAAUGAUGACGUAUUUUAUUAACUCUAACGGCACUGGCGGGUGACUGAAAAUACUAGUGCUGUGUAUGCGGGAUAGACAUUAUUUUCCUGCCCUACAUGAGGGGCUCGUGCGCGGAACGACAUGGGCAGCCCCGGCGGAAACUGCAGGCACAAGCCGGGACGCCGCGGGUUUAAAACAUGCGCGUGAGAGGAAGACAAACAUAAAGAUGAAGUGCUUAAUUCAAGGUCACACAAUGUCGGGGAUGGACCUCCAGAUUUCCUUACUGGUGAGACGUGGUCUUGUAACACAGUGGUUAAGAAUGUGACUUUGGAGCCAGCCUGCUAGGGGCUGAAUUCUGACUCAGCCAUUUACUAACUGUGUGACCUUAGGGAGGAGGACCUGGUUGAUAGAAGAAUUUAUCUCGUAGUCUUAACAUCCACUGUAAUUCCAAACUUUGAGGACGAUAGAGAUCAGUGGGCUUUGACUGCCCAGCAUGCAGUCUCCAUUCUUAGGUGGGUUCCCAAGCCUGUAAAAUGUAAGCCUUAUGCUGCUGAGGGCCAUCUUGCCACCCUGAGGGAAACGCUGCCUGAGAAUGAAACAAGCAUAAGUAAAAGCUGAGCUGUGAGAUGGAGCAAGAUGAAGGCCACAUGACAUCUUUGGAGCACCUGGAUCUAACUGUGCCUUAAGCUAGUCUAACCCUGAACAUUUCAUCAUUUCAUUGACAUGAGCCCAGGUUUUCUUUUUUUUUGGAUGGAGUCUUGCUCUGUCGCCCAGGCUGGAGUGCAGUAGCUCAAUCUCGGCUCACUGCAAGCUCCACCUCCCGGGUUCACGCCAUUCUCCUGCCUUAGCCUCCCAAGUAGCUGGGACAACAGGCGCCCACCACCACUCCCAGCUAAUUUUUUGUAUUUUUAGUAGAGACGGGGUUUUACCAUGUUAGCCGGGAUGGUCUUGAUCUCCUGACCUCAUGAUCCGCCCGCCUCGGCCUCCCAAAGUGCUGGGAUUACAGGUGUGAGCCACUGCACCCAGCCCUCAGGUUUUCCCUUUUUUUACCCCUCCUUUUGAAAAUUUGAUGUGGAAUUUUGCCACCUGCAGCCAGAAGAGUUUUAACUAAUCAGUGCCAUAAAUUUUAUAUAGUUCUCCUUGCAAAAUGUGGAUCAGCCUUUCUCAGCAAAUCCUUUGUCAUAAAGUGCUGAAUUGUAAGUUUGUCAUGAGAAUCACAUGAGAUCAUGCAUGUGAAGAACCUGGCAUUAUCCUCCUCAUAGAAAAAAACCAGUAAAUAUUAACUACAGGAAGCAAGGAAGGAGUGGGGUGAGGGGAAGAAGAAGGGGUACUGAUUUAAAAGAACCCUGGAGUCCUAAGGAUAAUCUAGGAACCCUCAGACCCAAUCCGAUACCCCUAUUCUAAAUGCUCCUAGUGCCCUGUACCUUCCCCUCAUAAGCCUUCAUUAUCAUUGUAAUGAUAUGUUUAUGUAAUAUUUUGAUUAAUGUCUCUCCUUCACUGACCUAGCAGUUCUAGCAGGGCAGUGAUUUUGCUGUGUUGCAUCCCCAGCACCUAGUCUGGUAUGUGGCAUUCAGCAUAUGUUUAUUGAAUGAAUGGCCAUGUGGUUAUUCAGAUCCUCCUUGAUUAUUGGGGUUAGGAUUGUGGCAGAAGUGGCAAAAUCAGGGAGAGUAGUCCCUGUCCCCUCUGUAUCUUAUACACUGCCCACACUCCCAACACACAUACACAUACAGAGAAUUUUGUCUCAAUUAGAUAAUUAACUUCUGCUUGGUUGUAAACCAAACCACUGGUUCUUAAACUUUCAUUGGAUCAUUUUAUUGAAGAAUUAAAUAGUGUGGUUCUGGCCUAAUGUCUGGAAAGCCUUGCAGAGGAGUGGAUUAGGUCUUUGUGAUAAACAGGCAGCCUUCCCUGCUCCUGUGUCUUUAUAAAAUCUAUUUAACUGGAGUAGUCCACCCUCCCUCAGGCUCUUACAGGAAUAUGUUGGAGGCUGUAGGAAGGUGGGAAACCGAGAGGGAAAGGACUGGGCCGCUGGAGACUUCACUCAUUCCCUAGCAAGAAACAAAAGCAGUAAAAGGUGGCCCGAGGACAACCUGAAGCUCACUCCUUCAGCACUUUUGGCUGGAGGUCACUUGUUGGAGCCCCACUCAGAGCUCAGCACACCACCCCACCAGCAGCCUCCUCCUCCCAGCUGAGGCUGCAUUUCAUCCCUUCCCCCAGCCUGCUUUCCCUGAGAUAGGGGAGUGUUUCCCAGGGCCCAUGUGACUUCCACUGGCAAGUGACGAUUACCAAUGGUUUACUAGUCAGUGAAACUACCAAAGGCUUUUGUGCUGUAGUAAUCCUUUUCCUGUUUAAAACUCUGGGGAUUUUCUAAUGUUGCCAAUAGUUUUUCAAGUCAGCAAUUACUGUGUGGAUUAUGUAAUGGCUCGGUAUUAAAAAUAGAAAAGACUGGAGUUUGCAUCUAUUUUAACCAAAUCUUGAAAACAGAGCAAAGGGAGGGGAAGGGUGGAGAGGGAGAGACCAGAGGAGGAGGGAGAAAAAGAGAUCAUGUGACUGGAUAAGACAGCUCACAAUUCACUGUGCCUUUCUCCCACCAUUUGUGGCCCAAGGACCUGUACUCCCUCCUCAGCCUCCUCUAGGGAGGGGUCCUUGAUGAGAAUUCUGAGGACACAAGACCCCUUGUGGAUAUUUCUUAGCUCAGCCUUGGUGUGCUUACCUGCUUCUGACAAGCAAAGUGGCCAAGUAGGGGAGGGAGUUGAAUCUGAUGUCCUCCACUAAGUCCAG